rnacentral:rRNA from 2 species
UUAGGUUAAGUUAUUAAGGGCGUAUGGUGGAUGCCUUGGCACUAGGAGCCGAUGAAGGACGUGACUAACUGCGAUAUGCUUCGGGGAGUUGUAAGUAAACUAUGAUCCGGAGAUUUCCGAAUGGGGAAACCUAACAGGUUUUACCGCCUGUUAUCACUAAGUGAAUUCAUAGCUUAGUUGAAGGUAGACGUGGGGAACUGAAACAUCUAAGUACCCACAGGAAGAGAAAGAAAUUCGAUUCCCUCAGUAGCGGCGAGCGAACCGGGAAGAGCCCAAACUAAGAAGCUUGCUUCUUAGGGUUGUAGGACUGAACAUUUGAGUUACCAAGAAAUGAAGUAGUUGAAUAAUCUGGGAAGAUUAGCCAAAGAGAGUGAUAGCCUCGUAAGCGAAACUUCGUUUCCUCAGUUCAGGAUCCUGAGUACGGCGGAACACGUGAAACUCCGUCGGAAUCCGGGAGGACCAUCUCCCAAGGCUAAAUACUACCUAGUGACCGAUAGUGAACCAGUACCGUGAGGGAAAGGUGAAAAGCACCCCGGGAGGGGAGUGAAAUAGUUCCUGAAACCAUAUGCCUACAAGUAGUCAGAGCUCGUUAAUGAGUGAUGGCGUGCCUUUUGUAGAAUGAACCGGCGAGUUACGUUAGCGUGCGAGGUUAAGGAGGAAAGUCCGGAGCCGUAGCGAAAGCGAGUCUGAAUAGGGCGAGAUAGUACGUUGACGUAGACCCGAAACCAGGUGACCUACCCAUGUCCAGGUUGAAGGUGCGGUAAAACGCACUGGAGGACCGAACCCGUGUAUGUUGAAAAAUGCUGGGAUGAGGUGUGGGUAGAGGUGAAAUUCCAAACGAACUUGGAGAUAGCUGGUUCUCUCCGAAAUAGCUUUAGGGCUAGCCUCGGAGUUAAGAAUCGUGGAGGUAGAGCACUGUUUGGACUAGGGGCCCGUCUUGGGUUACUGAAUUCAGAUAAACUCCGAAUGCCACAGAUUUAUAUCCGGGAGUCAGACUGCGAGUGAUAAGAUCCGUAGUCGAAAGGGAAACAGCCCAGACCACCGAUUAAGGUCCCAAAAUAUGUGUUAAGUGGAAAAGGAUGUGGAAUUGCAUAGACAACUAGGAUGUUGGCUUAGAAGCAGCCACCAUUUAAAGAGUGCGUAAUAGCUCACUAGUCGAGUGAUCCUGCGCCGAAAAUGUAACGGGGCUAAACACAUUACCGAAAUCGUGGAUGUACCGUAAGGUACAUGGUAGGAGAGCGUUCUAAGGACGGCGAAGCUAGACCGUAAGGACUGGUGGAGUGCUUAGAAGUGAGAAUGCCGGUAUGAGUAGCGAAAGAUCAGUGAGAAUCUGGUCCACCGUAUGACUAAGGUUUCCUGGGGAAGGCUCGUCCUCCCAGGGUUAGUCGGGACCUAAGCCGAGGCCGAGAGGCGUAGGCGAUGGAUAACAGGUUGAGAUUCCUGUACUGGUUAAACUUGUUUGAACAAUGGAGGGACGCAGGAGGCUAUCGAUGCGUACUGUUGGAUAUGUACGUUCAAGCAAUAAGUCUGUAGAUGAGUCAAAUGCUUAUCUACUUAAGGACAAGUUGUGAUGAGGAGCGAAAUUUAGUAGCGAAGUGAGAGACGUCACACUGCCAAGAAAAGCUUCUAGUUAGAGUUUAAUCACCCGUACCGCAAACCGACACAGGUAGUCGAGGCGAGUAGCCUAAGGUGAGCGAGAGAACUCUCGUUAAGGAACUCGGCAAAAUGACCCCGUAACUUCGGGAGAAGGGGUGCUGAGCGCAAGCUCAGCCGCAGUGAAUAGGCCCAGGCGACUGUUUAUCAAAAACACAGGUUUCUGCAAAAUCGUAAGAUGAAGUAUAGGGGCUGACGCCUGCCCGGUGCUGGAAGGUUAAGAGGAUGGGUUAGCGUAAGCGAAGCUCAGAAUUGAAGCCCCAGUAAACGGCGGCCGUAACUAUAACGGUCCUAAGGUAGCGAAAUUCCUUGUCGGGUAAGUUCCGACCCGCACGAAAGGCGUAACGAUCUGGGCACUGUCUCAACGAGAGACUCGGUGAAAUUAUAAUACCCGUGAAGAUGCGGGUUACCCGCGACAGGACGGAAAGACCCCAUGGAGCUUUACUGUAGCUUGAUAUUGGGUGUUU